rnacentral:rRNA from 1 species
AUUGAACGCUGGCGGCAGGCCUAACACAUGCAAGUCGAGCGGAUGAAGGGAGCUUGCUCCUGGAUUCAGCGGCGGACGGGUGAGUAAUGCCUAGGAAUCUGCCUGGUAGUGGGGGAUAACGUCCGGAAACGGGCGCUAAUACCGCAUACGUCCUGAGGGAGAAAGUGGGGGAUCUUCGGACCUCACGCUAUCAGAUGAGCCUAGGUCGGAUUAGCUAGUUGGUGGGGUAAAGGCCUACCAAGGCGACGAUCCGUAACUGGUCUGAGAGGAUGAUCAGUCACACUGGAACUGAGACACGGUCCAGACUCCUACGGGAGGCAGCAGUGGGGAAUAUUCGACAAUGGGCGAAAGCCUGAUCCAGCCAUGCCGCGUGUGUGAAGAAGGUCUUCGGAUUGUAAAGCACUUUAAGUUGGGAGGAAGGGAAGUAAGUUAAUACCUUGCUGUUUUGACGUUACCAACAGAAUAAGCCCCGGCUAACUUCGUG